rnacentral:rRNA from 1 species
AUUGAACGCUAGCGGGAUGCUUUACACAUGCAAGUCGAACGGCAGCGCGGACUUCGGUCUGGCGGCGAGUGGCGAACGGGUGAGUAAUGUAUCGGAACGUGCCCAGUAGCGGGGGAUAACUACGCGAAAGCGUAGCUAAUACCGCAUACGCCCUACGGGGGAAAGCAGGGGAUCGUAAGACCUUGCACUCUUGGAGCGGCCGAUAUCGGAUUAGCUAGUUGGUGAGGUAACGGCUCACCAAGGCGACGAUCCGUAGCUGGUUUGAGAGGACGACCAGCCACACUGGAACUGGACCACGGCCCAGACUCCUACGGGAGGCAGCAGUGGGGAAUGUUGGACAAUGGGGGCAACCCUGAUCCAGCCAUCCCGCGUGUGCGAUGAAGGCCUUCGGGUUGUAAAGCACUUUUGGCAGGAAAGAAACGUCGCGGGCUAAUACCCCGUGGAACUGACGGUACCUGCAGAAUAAGCACCGGCUAACUACGUG